CUCAGUACGGCGAGUGAGCGGCAGAGCUCAAAUUUGAAAGCUGGCCCCUUCGGGGUCCGCGUUGUAAUUUGCAGAGGAUGCUUCGGGUGCAGCCCCCGUCUAAGUGCCCUGGAACGGGCCGUCAUAGAGGGUGAGAAUCCCGUCUGGGACGGGGUGUCUGCGUCCGUGUGAAGCUCCUUCGACGAGUCGAGUUGUUUGGGAAUGCAGCUCUAAAUGGGUGGUAAAUUUCAUCUAAAGCUAAAUACUGGCCGGAGACCGAUAGCGCACAAGUAGAGUGAUCGAAAGAUGAAAAGCACUUUGAAAAGAGAGUUAAACAGCACGUGAAAUUGUUGAAAGGGAAGCGUUUGCGACCAGACUCGCCCGCGGGGUUCAGCCGGCAUUCGUGCCGGUGUACUUCCCCGUGGGCGGGCCAGCGUCGGUUUGGGCGGCCGGUCAAAGGCCCUCGGAAUGUAUCACCUCUCGGGGUGUCUUAUAGCCGAGGGUGCAAUGCGGCCUGCCUGGACCGAGGAACGCGCUUCGGCUCGGACGCUGGCGUAAUGGUCGUAAAUGACCCGUCUUGAA
rnacentral:rRNA from 1 species